AUGAAGGGUGUUACUAGGCACAAGAAAAAAAAAAUAGGCAACAUUUUUGAAGGACAAAAUACAGACUAGGAAACAAAUCUCUAGACAGAUCAAUGAGAUCAAGAAAUAAUACUCAACCGUUUGCAAAUCAGUACUAAAAAUCUCAAACUCACAGAAAAAUAAAAACAAGAAUAUAAAGAAAAGACCUAGAGCCCAAACACUGCGUAAACCGUAACUCACGGAAAACGUUUAAGGAGCCCCGAAUCACAGGAUCACAGACAAUGAAACAGGGAAGUAUUUCAGGAGAUGGUCUGGAAGGUGUCGGCCCCCUCUGCUGUGGGAGUGUCGUGUCCCAGGAAGAGGAGAGACAGCUUCAAACUUGAGCCCAAGGCACCCACCUUAUUCCCCCAACACAGCACAGUCCCAAGGCCCGCAGGCUGCAUCUGAUUGGCUGCGUCUCCUCUGACGCCAUAAGUGCGCGCCAUUGUGUGACCUACCCAAGCAGGUUGGCCUGGGCAACGCUGUGUGAAUCUUCUUUCUGGGCUCCGCCGUUCUUUGCUUCCCGGCUCUGCUCCUGGUCGCGGCCUCCCGUGGUCAGCCUUUCCGUUCCCUCUUACAGAGACCUCAGGACCGGGACUCCUCAGAAGCUGGAAAAUGUGACGGUGGCUCAGCUCUGGAGCCCCGAAUCCGCCAACAUUGUUGAUGAGGACAGGAAGGAACUUAGAAUUCAGACUUCAGAUCUGGCUGUCACCUCUGCUUCCAGCCUAAUGUUCACCUGAGGAAGAGGCAGUGAUGGUUCAAGUACUUGGGUCCCAAUCACCCACAUAGGAGGAUCUGAUUUAAUUCCAGCCUCCUGGCUUCAACAUGGGCCAGCCUUGACUUUUGCAUGCAUGUGAGGAGUGAACCAUUUAGUGGAAGAUCUUUCCAUGACUGUCUCUGCAGCUCUACUUGUGAAAUAAAAUACAUUUUUAAAAAACUGUCCAUUUCUUCUUAUCUCCCUUAAAUGCAGACAUCUUAUUAAAAUGUCAACAGUUUGAGAAUCCCCUCGGAAGCUUUACAGGGCAAUGUCUCCCUAACACACUCCUCUCUUUCCCUUGUCCUGAGUUGUGGGUGAUGACAGAUUUUCCAGGGGCCAGAUCCUUAGGAGUAUCAGGUGAGUGCCAGCCCCUGGCUGUUUCUUCCUAAAGAACAGUAGUAAGAAGGGGGACAUUUGAUGUCUCUAAGGCAAAGGGUCUCUACUGUAUACCCUCCAUCAAUGUUGCUAACCCAUUGGGACACUAAAAUUUCUUCUCCCAAGUUCAGUUCCCACUAUGGGAGACAUAUUAGUGACAGCUAAUUUGAUGCUGAUAUUGAAGGGGCAGGGCAGA